CCUACGGGCGGCAGCAGUGGGGAAUAUUGCACAAUGGGGGAAACCCUGAUGCAGCGACGCCGCGUGAAGGAAGAAGUAUUUCGGUAUGUAAACUUCUAUCAGCAGGGAAGAAAAUGACGGUACCUGACUAAGAAGCCCCGGGUAACUACGUGCCAGCAGCCGCGGGAAAACGUAGGGGGCACGCGUUAUGCGGGUUUAUUGGGGUGAAAGGGGGCGUAGGUGGGGUAGCAAGGCAGAAGGGAAAGCUCGGGGCUCAACCCCGGGACUGCUGUUGAAACUGUUGAACUAGAUUGCAGGAGAGGUAAGUGGAAUUCCUAGUGUAGCGGUGAAAUGCGUAGAUAUUAGGAGGAACACCAGUGGCGAAGGCGGCUUACUGGACCGUAAAUGACGCUGAGGCUCGAAAGCGUGGGGAGCAAACAGGAUUAGAUACCCGUGUAGUC
rnacentral:rRNA from 1 species